ensembl:lncRNA
CCAUUUCAAGGCAAUGUUUUAUUUUCAAAUAAACACGUUUUCGCUGUAAAAAAUACCAUAUGAAUUUUAUUCGAACUAUUUUUUUUUUAUGAACCACCAAUUAUUAGUUGAUACAUAGUAAUUGUUCAGGUUGUAGAUGUACAAUUUUAUUGAAGUUCCUUUAAAAAAAAUAUCGGGGUCUCGUUAGGUAGACCAGACUGGGCUCGAACGCAAAAUCCUUCGGCAUCUUCUUCCUGAACACCAGGAUCACAGUUGUACACAUUGAUUCCGGGUUAAGUUAUAUGUAUUCUCAAAAAGUCCUAAUUUUUUAUAAACCCAAUUAUUUAGAGACUAACGUCCAAGGCAAUUGGUUAAUAUUUAAAUUGUACUUUGGAGCUCGAGAGCAUAGCUCAGUGGCCGACUCAAAGGCACUGAAUACUAUUUUUUUUUUUUUUAGCUUGGAUACAUAUUUGAAAUAGAUAAUAAUACUGUAUUAAUACUGAUAAAAAUACUAUAUGAAUUUCAAAUACAUAGAAUGCAUGACUUCAUCUUCGGGUAAAAAAAAUUCCCAAAAUACAAGCUUCGAUAUAUCGUAAAUUUGGAAGUUUCUGAUGCAUUAUGUGUCAGGGACCCUUCCUAAUUAAUGCUGUCUUUCACAGGAAGGCCUCCCCGAGGCUGAUUCUGCAACUUGUAGGAUGAAAUUAUAUUUUCUUCGUUUGUCUGGUUUGUUUGUCUUAGCACGAGCUACAUGACGGUUGUGUGGAGGUCUUUGGAGUUUGACCCUGAUCUCUAGAAAAGAGAUCCAGUCCUUUAGACAGGGUCUGGAAGGUUCUUCCGACCAUACCUGGAAUUAUUUAAAUUUGGUAUAUUUAUGAAGUGUUCGUUUAAAUGUACAAAAAAUUAAAUUUAUAGAGAUAGUCUUAAGAGAAAAGGAAGUCUUCCCACAGGAUUCUGACUCUAUUGCCCCGUGUACGAAAUGCUUGUUAGUCAAGUACAACACAACUAACUAAUCCUCUCCAGUUUUCAGACUUCUGUUAAGUUCUUUUACACAAAAGUAUCCGCCCAACGUGGGGCUCGAACCCACGACCCUGAGAUUAAGAGUCUCAUGCUCUACCGACUGAGCUAGCCGGGCGGCGAUAAAUAAGCCGUUCCCCACAGGCCUCUUGGAGUUCUAUAUACUUCCGGGUUCUAGAACGCAGUCGAUUUGUUCUUCUAGGGAGAGCUUCUAGUCCUAGAGCAAUGAUUGGUUUGCUCCUGCAGCUUUCUAUCAACUUCCCGGCCGGGGCUUAUGUGGUCCCUUCCUUCCCAGGAGCCACAGGUUUGGGGACAAGGUGGUGGUCUGUGAGGAUGUCAGUGAGACCUCCGUUUAGGGCCUGAUCGGUUCUAGAAUCUAAUCAUGAGCGAACAUACGUUUUCAAAGUCGCCGCAGGACACUGGAUCUCUGGCCGAACGCUAAGCCGCGGGCUUCGGAGAACCAACCCGGAGUUGUGGCUUCUGCGUCUAGGUCUCUGAGCUGCGCGGGCUGAGCUGGCAGAGUCCAGGCCCGAGUGGUUUUGGCCACGGUACAGGAUCUGCGGGUUCUGUGGCUCUCCCCGGAAGACUGAGGUUGCGGGACUGGCGGAUCGGAAGGCUCUCAUUCUUGACGUCCUAGACUUGGGUUCUAGUGGGCAAAAUUUCUGAGCCGGAGUCCACCAUGAGACUGCGUUGUUCAUACAAGCUCGCAGGCUUCCCUUUCCCGAAGGACGAUGGUCCUUGGUCAUUCAUAUCGAAUGCUGGGCCGUAGGGGACCGGUCUGCCCUGUCUUGAGCGUUUCGGAACUUUCCCUUCGGGCGGGUCUCCACGGAGACGAGCCUCCUCCCUUGGCUUCCUGAAACUCACAGGAAAAUGAAUUCGUGGAGUCGUCCUCAGCAGGGGCAGGACUAAGGGAACGUGUCAUUCAUCUAGAGAUAUCCAAAGAUCAGCAGUAAGCAGCUUCGGCACAGUGGCUCGUUGGUCUAGGGUGUGUCUAGUCCCACGUAGCUCCGUCUCCGCAGAUUCCUGGAUGUAGUGUCCUGCGCCUUCCACACCACCGGAAGAAGAGAUCGGCAGCAGAGGCUGCGUUCACUCAACAUCCCACCAUAAUAAAGCUGGUCACCAGGGCUUGGGUUCUGUUUUUGCACACUGGA